rnacentral:rRNA from 1 species
UACAGAGGUCUCAAGCGUUGUUCGGAAUCACUGGGCGUAAAGGGUGCGUAGGCUGCGGAGUAAGUCGGAUGUGAAAUCUAUGGGCUCAACUCAUAGUCUGCAUCGGAAACUGCCGGGCUUGAGUGUGGGAGAGGUGAGUGGAAUUCCUGGUGUAGCGGUGAAAUGCGUAGAUAUCAGGAGGAACACCUGUGGCGAAAGCGGCUCACUGGACCAUAACUGACGCUGAUGCACGAAAGCUAGGGGAGCAAACAGG